rnacentral:tRNA from 1 species
GGGGCCAUAGCUCAGCUGGGAGAGCGCCUGCCUUGCGCAGGAGGUCAGCGGUUCGAUCCCGCUUGGCUCCACCA